GGAAAGAUGGUAGUUCAGUGGUAGAGUACCUGCUUUGCACGCCGAAGGUCCAGAUUCAAUCCCAGGUUUCUCCA